UCCAUUACAUGUUACUCACAAAGGAAGCAGUGUAUUUAAUUGUGAAGAAGAAAGCAGUGGAUUUGGAUUCAAAUACAAAUUCAUCCUACUUUUUGUAUGUAUGUUGUACUAUUGUUGCUGUGAAUCACAACAUGUCCAGGACAUUACCGCAACCAUAUAUACUCAAAAGCAAGCAAAAAAAAAAUUGUCUUACACGAGCACCAAUCAUCUUAGUUGAUAAAGAUAUUGUGAACUUACUGCCCAGUUGUUCGAAAUUGGAAAAUUUGGAAAUAUAUCUAGUUGAGGGUCUUCAAUGCCUUGAAAUUAGGUCUUCUAUAUUAAAGAGACUGAAGCUGCAAGAUUAUUGGUUGCACAAUGAUGGAAGUGAUCAUUCCUUGGAAAUUAUUGCCCCGUAUCUUUAGCAUUUGGAAAUCGAUGGGGAUAUUGAUGAUAUCAAGUUUAGACUUACAGACGUGUCCUCUGUGAUUAAUGCUAAGCUUACCUUCAACAUUAGAUGUAUCAAAGACAUCUUGUCUGAUCAUGGUGAAGCAUUUGAUGAUGCAGAAGACAGUUGUCGUGAUUAUCAUAAAGUUUUUAGCACUCUCUUCCAAGAGUACCUUCAAAAGUUUAGUCGUGCAACUGAGCUAAUAAUAGGGACAUGGUUCACAGAGGUCUGUUUGAAGGAUCAUCUCAAAUGGCGGUAUGUCAAAAGGCUUUUCAAACUUUCAGAAUUUCUGUUAAUGAAUGCAUCGGUUUUGGAGAAGUUUGUUAUCAUACCAAAGAGAAGGAGGUGCCAAACAUGUUCGAUGAACUGUGUAUCCCGAUAUGUAUCUCGAUUGGCUAAGAAAUUGUUAGGUUGUCCAAGAUCCUCCACCAAUUCUGUGAUUAUCUUCCAGGAAUGAGCUUUCCAUGACAAAACUGCUUCUAGUAGUUUACUGUCUCAAGAUUCUAGAAAAUGUCGCCUUAUAUUGAGUUUUUGAUAAGCUACUCAUGCAAUCAUGAAUCUUUAAGUUCUCUAUGUAAGUUUGUAACUGAAUAAUAAUUUUACUAUUGGACUUAAUUACCCUUGUGGUAUACCAAAUGUUAUGGUAUCUUGGUUUCUUAUGAAGCA